CACGGCCGUUAGUGAAACGGAGGACAGUAGGAUACUAUAAAUAUCUCUUCCCCAGAAUGUCAUCCAUUUCUGCUUCUCUUCAACUCUCUAUCUCUCUCUGCGCGCCAAUGACGAAGAAGCGAAAGGUCGACGAAAAGGUUGACAUCUCGGUCCCUGAGCCCGACGUUAACAAUGAGGAAGGAAAUGGAGGAGAAGGAGAAGCAGACAUAGAAGCAGAAGGAGAAGCAAUAGAAGUAGUAGUAGUAGAGGAAGAAGAAGAAGACUUGACAAAACUCUUGGAGCCCUUCGACAAAGAACAACUCAUCGAUCUUCUACGUAUAGCUGUUUCUAAUGAUGCUAAAGUCCUGGAAGAAAUCCACCGAGUUGCCGACCUUGAUCCCGCUCACCGUAAGCUCUUUGUGCAUGGACUCGGUUGGGAGACCAGCACUGAGAAGCUCCGUGAGUUCUUUUCACAGUACGGCGAAAUUGAAGAUGGCAACGUUGUCUUAGAUAAGGCCUCAGGUAAAUCCAAAGGCUAUGGCUUCUUGCUCUUCAAGCAUCGUCGAGAUGCUCAGAAAGCCCUCAUUGAGCCUCAGAAGAAGAUUGAGUCUCGGAUGACCGCGUGUCAGCUUGCAUCCGCUGGUCCUGUCAAUACGGUUCAGUCGAAUUCGGUUACGCAUACGCAACAGACUCAGCAUCCCUCACAGGAUACACUACCUAAGAAGAUAUACGUAGGUAAUGUGCAUUCGGAGAUUCCUGGUGAUAAGUUACAUGCUUUCUUCUCCAAGUAUGGAGAGAUUGAAGAGGGUCCCUUAGGGUUUGAUAAACAGACGGGGAGAUCCAAGGGUUUUGCUCUUUUUAUAUAUAAGACUGUGGAAGGGGCAAGGAAGGCUUUAGAAGAACCAAACAAGAGCUUCGAUGGGCACCAGUUGUAUUGCCAGAAGGCGACCGAUAGCCACAAGCAAAGGGCAGCUGCUGCUGCCCCCAUCUCUGGAGGUGGCGGCGCCGCUACCGCCCCUAGGCAUGUUCCGGGUGCUGGUGGCUUUAAUACCUUGGCCACCUCAGGCGGUAGCUUCAAUGCACAGGGGGGUGCUGGUUUUAACGCUCAGGAAGGGGCUAUGGCUCAGCAGGCUUCGGCCGCCUCUGCUGCACAAUUUUUAGGUCAGGGGUACUUUGCUGGAACCUUUCCGUUUGGUCCGGGGGUUCCUCAGAAUCAGGCAGCGCUUGCUGUAUUGGCCGCCGCUGGGCAGAAUCCAGCUGCCUUUGGAAACCCUGCUGUUCUUGCAUCGUUGAACCCCGCUUGGGCAGCUGCCAUGAAUGCUUCCCAACAUCCUGUUCCGUCCACAGCGCAACCGCAGGCAAUGCCGGGAUUUGGAAUGGGGAAUCAAGGUUAUCAUAAUCCCCAAGCUUAUCAAACCAAUAACUCGUAUCAGACUGGCCCGAUCGCGCAGCCUCAUCAACCAAGGCCACACUCUGCUGUUGGGCAAAUGGGAGGAUAUGGUGCACGUUAGGUUUAAUACGAUAUGGCCUGUCUCGCAUCACCUGAUGACCAUUUAUGAUCAAUUCACAUACUCGAUGAUGGAUCAUGGCUUCAUCAUGAAGGAGUAGAAUCUCCUACCAGAUUCUGAAUCUUGGGACAAUCUUUUGCCACUUGUUCGGGUCCAUCAAGGGGAAGUUCCCUUGUAGUAUUCCAACGUUUUGGGAAAAUUGUUUUACAACUUGUGCAGGAGACAAAAUGGUGCUGAAUGUUGCAAAGCUUUGACAUUUCCUGCUUAUAUCCUCAACUUCUGAAAUUCAUGUUAUGGGGAGGUGACGUUAAUAUUGCUGGAAAAUCCAUGAUAGUGGCUGGAGAGCUUAGCUCUGGCACUGAAAUGAAUCAACUUAAGCUUCAGUGGAGCACUAGUCGCUUAUAUUGUUUUCCUGAGAUUUCUGUUAAUAUGAGGUGAAGGCUGAACUUGAGCCUCAUAUGAGCUCAAGUUGGGAUACACUGUAUGACGAGGUUUAAAAACUCGGACACAGGUACGGGAUCAAUCUCCGUUCAUUCCAAUUCAAAUUGUCUUUGGAUCGGCUGGAAUUGGUUGUACUUGCUCUGAAUUAGUCGGAUUGACCUGACUUGGUCUGACUCAGUAUGCCUAGAAUUUGGGCAUUUGCAGGACGUUGAUACAAAAGUGUACACUGGAUCAAGGAUAUGAUCAUUUCUUACACUACCAAGAAAAAAAAAGAUUAUUUCUUAUUAGAAGUUUUCCAAGAUAUUUAAACAGGUUUGAAUCCCUUGUUAAAGAUACCGAGGUGUUUUAUUUUAUGAAGGAACUCUGCCUGUCUGCGUUCCCUACGCUCAGUGUCUGGGUGUGAAAAUUUCUAGCGCAUUGGGCAACUGGGUCUUUUUACACCUAGUUGUGUUUGGGCGUAUGGACGGUUCAGUUUUGAUUAUUUGGUUCUAUUUCCA